ensembl:snRNA U6 U6 spliceosomal RNA
GUGCUCACUUUAGCAGCAUAUGUACUAAAAUUGGAAAGAUGCAAGAAGGUUAGCAUGGCACCUGUGCAAAGAAGAUGCACAAAUUCGUGAAGCUGCCCAUAUUCUU